rnacentral:rRNA from 1 species
AAUUUUGGGCAAUGGGGGAAACCCUGUUCCAGCCAGCCCGCGAGUAUGAUGAAGGUCUUCGGGUAGUAAAGUACUUUUGGCAGAGAAGAAAAGGUAUCCCCUAAUACUGGAUACUGCGAACGGUAUCUGCAGAAUAAGCACCGGCGAACUACGUGCCAGCAGCCGCGGUAAUACGUAGGGUGCAAGCGUUAAUCGGAAUUACUGGGCGUAAAGCGUGUGUAGGCGGGUCGGAAAGAAAGAUGUGAAAUCCCAGGGGUCAACCUUGGAACUGCAUUUUUAACUGCCGGGCUAGAGUAUGUCAGAGGGGGGUAGAAUUCCACGUGUAGCAGUGAAAUGCGUAGAUAUGUGGAGGAAUACCGAUGGCGAAGGCAGCCCCCUGGGAUAAUACUGACGCUCAGACACGAAAGCGUGGGGAGCAAACAGG